AGUGAACGCUGGCGGCAGGCCUAACACAUGCAAGUCGAACGGCAGCAUAGGAGAGCUUGCUCUCUGGGUGGCGAGUGGCGGACGGGUGAGGAAUAUAUCGGAAUCUACCCUUUCGUGGGGGAUAACGUAGGGAAACUUACGCUAAUACCGCAUACGAACUGAGGUUGAAAGCGGCGGACCGCAAGGCGUCGCGCGGAUGGAUGAGCCGAUAUCCGAUUAGCUAGUUGGCGGGGUAAAGGCCCACCAAGGCGACGAUCGGUAGCUGGUCUGAGAGGAUGAUCAGCCAAACUGGAACGGAGACACGGUCCAGACUCCUACGGGAGGCAGCAGUGGGGAAGAUUGGACAAUGGGCGCAAGCCUGAUCCAGCCAUGCCGCGUGUGUGAAGAAGGCCUUCGGGUUGUAAAGCACUUUUGUUGGGAAAGAAAAGCGGUCGGUUAAUACCCGGUCGUUCUGACGGUACCCAAAGAAUAAGCACCGGCUAACUUCGUGCCAGCAGCCGCCGUAA
rnacentral:rRNA from 1 species